AGCGAACGCUGGCGGCAGGCCUAACACAUGCAAGUCGAACGGAUCCUUCGGGAUUAGUGGCGGACGGGUGAGUAACACGUGGGAACGUGCCCUUUGGUUCGGAACAACUCAGGGAAACUUGAGCUAAUACCGGAUGUGCCCUUCGGGGGAAAGAUUUAUCGCCAUUGGAGCGGCCCGCGUCUGAUUAGCUAGUUGGUGAGGAAAAGGCUCACCAAGGCGACGAUCAGUAGCUGGUCUGAGAGGAUGAUCAGCCACAUUGGGACUGAGACACGGCCCAAACUCCUACGGGGGGCAGCAGUGGGGAAUCUUGCGCAAUGGGCGAAAGCCUGACGCAGCCAUGCCGCGUGAAUGAUGAAGGUCUUAGGAUUGUAAAAUUCUUUCACCGGGGACGAUAAUGACGGUACCCGGAGAAGAAGCCCCGGCUAACUUCGUGCCAGCCGCCGCCGUAAGAC
rnacentral:rRNA from 1 species